rnacentral:snoRNA from 1 species
GUUAUGAAGUGGGCAUGAUGACGAGCUUGGUUUUGGAUUUUCAUGGGAAGGUCACAUGACAAUGAGAACCGUUUAAGCCGCCGUUAAAUAUGGAUGGGAAUACAAAUUUUCAUCCGUCAGUGCCUGAUGAGAAGU